rnacentral:lncRNA from 1 species
CCGUACCGUUUCUACUGCUUGGUGCUAAGGCACACCUGGACGGAACUUUUCUGGUCUAGUGCUUUGACGCUUCUCUACUAUUCAUCGCUUCUGCUGCGGAUUCCGCUGUUUGCCGGCCUACUGGCAGGUGCAAGCGACUUCUCCUUCUAUCAAUCUAUUACCCUCCUGUCUGUGUCAUGCAUCGCUGAAUGCCUCGUGUCAAGCAUGCAGGCUUACUCUAUUGUACAAAACCAACUGAAGGCUCAGCUUUUGCUUCAGACUGCCGUGUUUAAGAAGGUUACGUGCCUGUCAGCCACUGCCAUUUCCGAGAAUCCUGCAGGUCACGUUACUUCGCUAUUAGCCGCCGACAGCUGGCAAGUUGCAGUGUCUAUUUAUUAUCUGCCCAACACUCUGAUGGGCGUUUUGUGUGUACUCAUUG